AAAUUAGUUAAGACAUGUUAAAAUCUAAAUUCCUUAAACUUGUCAUGUGUCAUGAUCUCGUGAGUUAGUAACUAUCAAAAUCGUACUUUAUAUAAUAAGAUACGGCAUUUUAAGUAAUGACUCCAAUAUAAUCAUCGAAUUAUGUAAAAUAACUCGAUUUCCAAGGCAACUAUGAUUUAUGGAGUUAUCUAAA
rnacentral:sRNA from 1 species